GACAGAGGGUGCAAACGUUGUUCGGAAUUACUGGGCGUAAAGCGCGUGUAGGCGGCUAAGUAAGUCGGGCGUGAAAUCCCACGGCUCAACCGUGGAAGUGCACUCGAAACUGCAUAGCUAGAGUCCUGGAGAGGAAGGUGGAAUGCUCGGUGUAGAGGUGAAAUUCGUAGAUAUCAAGCGGAACACCGGUGGCGAAGGCGGCCUUCUGGACAGUGACUGACGCUGAGACGCGAAAGCGUGGGGAGCAAACAGG
rnacentral:rRNA from 1 species